UGCUUUGGCCUAAUGGUUAGCGUAUUGGACUCCGGAUCGAGCGGCCCGGGUUCGAGUCCUGGCCGGGGGAA
rnacentral:tRNA from 1 species